ensembl:lncRNA
UGAAAAGACCGAGAACAACAUUAGUUGUGGCUCUUAAAAAAAACGUAAACCUGAAAGCCUUCAACAACAAAACCAAGGUACUCCUAUUGUGAUCUACAUUUUAAGCACUUAUUUAUUACACUCAUACUCGGAUGAAGAAAGUGUCAAAACGUGACAGUGGUAGCCAACUGAAUAAAGUUUAUUUUUAAUUUGCAAAGAGAGUGAGAGAGUGCCUUAAUUGUUUUUUUUUUGUCAUAGGCUUUCAGUUGGACUGUUUUUCAAGAUACAACUUAUGUUGUUCUGAAUCUGUACAAAGGUAAAAAAAACAAAACUUAAAAAACAACAACAAUUAGGACAGAUAUUCUGAAUAAUAGGCUACUUAAAAAAGCCUUAGAUGAAGACCGUUUUGCCAUUGUAUGCUUUCCAAAUAGGACAGCAUAGUAUGAACUUUAAUGUCCCUCAGAGGAAAUGGUCUUAGACACACAGUACUGCUUUAAAACAAACAAUACAGCAGCACAGGUGUCAGGGGCACAAGCAGAGCAGCGCCACCAGGAACCAGGAAGAGAUUGGGCCCUGGUCAAAGGAAGUCCACAAUAAAGCGAAUAGGAUGCCAUUUGGGAAGCAUGCAGCCAUUGUUUGUGGGGAUUAGCUCCUUCUGCAAAUGGGCUUUAAUUCCCCAACUCUUUUCCCAGAGAUGGACACACACGCUCUGUCUAGAAGCUCAAAGUGGAAUCCGGGCACAUCAGUCAGUCAAUUGGGUCAAAGGUUUUACAAAAGGCUGCAGGGUCACCCUUCAAAUCCUCAUAAGAGGCGGCCUUUCCCUCUGUGGUUCUGCUGUGGCCCUACAGCCCGGGCCUGGGAAGAGCUGAGGACGCACAGACACUGACUUGUCAUUGGGAACAGCCCUGCUAAUUUCCAAUUUCAUGGGAGCUAGAGUCAGGGGCAGGAUGGUCAGCCCCAGCGUGGCCCCUAUGUAUGCCAGCUCUGCAGGAUCCAUUGUUGUCGGACAGCCCUGCCGCAGGGUGCCAUGUGUGGGGGACACUUUUCCCCAUGACACCCAAGUGUCACCACCAAUAACUAACUGUAAGCUACAAAGUCAGUAUGAGGUCGCCAUGGAAGGGUUUA